rnacentral:tRNA from 1 species
GGGCCCUUAGCUCAGUGGUUAGAGCGCUCGGCUCAUACUCCCGGCCGCCUCCGGCGACGGGAUGGGACACCGAGUGGUCGCCGGUUCGAACCCGGCAGGGCCCA